rnacentral:snRNA from 1 species
UCGCUUUGGCAGUGCAUGUAUUAAAACUAGAACAAUAUAGAAAAGAUUAGCAUGGCCCCUGUGACAUGCAAAUUCGUGAAGUGUUUCAUCUUUUU